GUGAGGAAUAUUGGUCAAUGGGCGAGAGCCUGAACCAGCCAAGUCGCGUGAAGGAAGAAGGAUCUAUGGUUCGUAAACUUCUUUUGCAGGGGAAUAAAGUGCGGGACGUGUCCUGUUUUGUAUGUACCCUGAGAAUAAGGAUCGACUAACUCCGUGCCAGCAGCCGCGGUAAUACGGAGGAUCCGAGCGUUAUCCGGAUUUAUUGGGUUUAAAGGGUGCGUAGGUGGUUUGAUAAGUCAGCGGUGAAAGUUUGCAGCUUAACUGUAAAAAUGCCGUUGAAACUGUCGGACUUGAGUGUAAAUGAGGUAGGCGGAAUGCGUGGUGUAGCGGUGAAAUGCAUAGAUAUCACGCAGAACUCCGAUUGCGAAGGCAGCUUACUAAGCUACAACUGACACUGAAGCACGAAAGCGUGGGGAUCAAACAGGAUUAGAUACCCUGGUAGUCC
rnacentral:rRNA from 1 species